AAUUUUCACCUCACAAACACUCAAAUGGCAGCCAUUUCUUGCUUCCUUCGACUCUGACACUCCUCCCCUUCAUUCAGGGUCAGCUAAAGGAGUGGUUGAAGCUAGCAACAAGAAGGGUAAAGAUAUCGCUCAAGGGUGUGCUAAGCUCAAGAGCAAAGGGGAUCUAA